rnacentral:rRNA from 1 species
GUGAGGAAUAUUGGUCAAUGGGCGCGAGCCUGAACCAGCCAAGUCGCGUGAAGGAAGACUGUCCUAUGGAUUGUAAACUUCUUUUGUACAGGAAUAAAGUGUUCUACGUGUAGGAUUUUGCAUGUACUGUACGAAUAAGGAUCGGCUAACUCCGUGCCAGCAGCCGCGGUAAUACGGAGGAUCCGAGCGUUAUCCGGAUUUAUUGGGUUUAAAGGGUGCGUAGGUGGACUGAUAAGUCAGUGGUGAAAGUUUGCAGCUUAACUGUAAAAUUGCCGUUGAAACUGUUGGUCUUGAGUGCAAAUGAGGUAGGCGGAAUGUGUUGUGUAGCGGUGAAAUGCUUAGAUAUAACACAGAACACCGAUUGCGAAGGCAGCUUACUGGGAUGCAACUGACACUGAUGCACGAAGGCGUGGGGAUCAAACAGGAUUAGAUACCCUAGUAGUCC